CCGAGAUUGCACCAUUGCGCUCCAGCCUGGGCAACAAGAGUGAAACUUCGUUCCAAAAAAAAAAAAUGUUAAAACCAUCCACUCAUGUUUGUUGGGUGCCAGUUUUGUCCCAGGCACUGUGCUGGGUGUUAGGGACAGUUCAGGGCUCCAAGAACUCAGCCUUGCAUUUGGGGGCAGUUGGGAGCUUGCAGAUGGGCUUUCUGGGGAGUCCAUGGGUCAUAUUGAUACAGAAUGGCUGGGGCCCCAGCUAAGCCCCACUCUCAAGCCUGGAACCUCAGCCCUAAGUGAAAACAGCUGACCCUAUUUUUCACCCAAAUGAUUGCCUUUUUGGCCUGCCACACCCCUAUCCUGUGCCCAUAAAAAGACUUCAGCUGGUAGAGCAACAGGAGCGGCUGAUGCAAGUGGUUGGGGAUGUGGGCUGCUGAGCCUCAGGGAUCCAUGCGGCUGAGCGUUGGGGAUACAAGCUGCUGAGGCUCGGGGAUCCAUGCGGCUGAGCGUCGGAGACUGUGGAUAGAUGUGGCUAACUUCAGGCGGUGCAGCUUCUGGGAAGGAUCACCUUCUUCCCAUACCAUCCCCUUUCCAAUUCCCCAUCCCGCUCAGAGCCACUUUUAUUGUCCAAUAAAGUCUUCCACAUACACUACCC
rnacentral:lncRNA from 1 species